GCCGCCGCCAUGUUGGGCUGGAGGCACGCACGCUCCCAACGCUCUCUGGCUGCAAAUCACGGCGGGAGCGCCUCGGGCCUCUUGUCUUUUGACCCCGUCCUUGGAACCCGAGGAGACUUGCCGUUCCCGGGGGAGGGUGUGUGUGAGUCGGCCGGCGGAGGCCGUCUACGCCAUCGUCGGGGCGGGGGAGCCGAGAUUAGAGCAUCAGCCUGAGAGAAGUGGUGCUUCUUGUUCUCCGCUCUGCCUCGCAUCUUUCAGCGAGGCCUCGUACCUCAGUUUUCCCAUCCGUGAAGUGGAGCUGGGCCUGCCUGACUCAUUCAUUCAUCAGGUGGAGGCCUUGACGCUCUAGGAGCCCUUUCAAAGGACUUUGACUUACACGAAAUAGUACCUAUCGUUAUUCACUCCGCAGUAACCACCCGGAUUUGAGUGGCGGGUGUUUGCACAGUAAUUCAGCUUCCUCUUCACCCUCCUGCCAUUCGUCUUCCCCUCCAGUUUAUUUCCUGAAAGAGUUUGAAAUCAGCCUUGUCUAUUAUUGAUAAGCUCCUGUAGGUGUAUUUGGUAUUUCCCUUAAAACAUGCAGACCAAACGAAAGGCAAUAUUUUUCCCCCCACGAAGCAGUUAACUUGGUAGAGGCCACCCGUUGUAUGGAAGAGAAAGAGAGUCUCUUCAGGACAGGCAGUUUGGAUCCUGCUAAACCAGAAUAAGAAAUCUAGAACAUGGGCCGGGCGAGGUGGCUCACGCCUGUAAUCCCAGCACUUUGGGAGGCCAAGGCGGGCGGAUCACGAAGUCAGGAGAUCGAGACCAUCUUGGCUAAUACGGUGAAACCCCGUCUCUACGAAAAAUACAAAAAAUUAGCCGGGCGUGGUGGCGGGCGCCUGUAGUCCCAGCUACUCAGGAGGCUGAGGCAGGAGAAUGGUUUGAACCCGGGAGGCGGAGCUUGCAGUGAGCCGAGAUCACGCCACUGCACUCCAGCCUGGGCGACAGAGCAAGACUCCGUCUCAAAAAAAAAAAAAAGAAAAAAAAAAAAAUCUAGAACAUGGAUGUCCCCUUAUUUAGCAGACCUAGCUGAUCACACAAGGUCCUGUAUUGUUAGGCUGCAUCACAGGCCGCAAAGACCCAGGUAUCUAUCCAGUUGCUAGAAACCAUCCUAAGAGUUAGAUACCACUUUUCUGUUGGAAAUACAGACCAUUUCCUGAAGCCGUAUGGUUGAGGUAAAACAUAGGCCUUUUGCAGUCUUAUAUUUUGAGUAAGGCCAAACCUGCCUAGUGUUACAAAACCAGACAAAAAACCCAGGUACCCAGUCUUGCAGGAUAGAAAUGUGUGACUAAAAUGAAGCAUCGAUCUGAGAAGACUACAAAUGAGCGGGAAAGAUUGGACAGGAGCAUGCUAUACAUUAUUUAGAUUAAUGUUGAUAUUUAAGGAGCCAGGAUAUUGGUUUGUUUUUGAGGGGUGCCCAUCUACUUUAUGUAAGAAGCUAUAAACUACACUUCUUUCAGUUUCUGCUUAAUCCUUGCUCAAACAAGGAAUAAUUUCUUAUUCCAAAGUAGACAUUGGUACAUCUUUUACUAGGUACCUAAUUUGGGAUGAAGUCUGAUAAAGCUCCUUAGAAGUACUUACAGUACACCCUCACAAGGGUGUACCAUCUACCCAUGGUUUAAACAGAAAUUAAAAUUCUACCUUCGUGGAAAAAUUUGCCAAGUUUUAAUGGAUUCAGUGCUCAUUAAAAACUUUUAGCCUGUCUUGAUCUUUAACAUAAUUAUUGGUGUAAAACAAUGGCUUCUGUGGAAAAUUAAAGUUUUAGUGGUUUGCUAUUUGUAAAAUACAGGCUUUUUCAUGUAUCAUAUUAGCAUAUAAGCUGGCUUAAUCAUUAGUACUGAUCUUCAAGUUACUAAGACACCAGAUAUUUGUUACUUUGUAAUUUGAGUUUUUUUUUAAAUUCCGAAAUUGGCUUUUCGAUGUGUUAAAAGGACUACUUAUUAGAUGCUUGUUUUUAAAUUUACAUUCAAUUAAUUAAAGCUAGACUCUUUAUAUUCUUAGGCUUGGUAUACUAUUUGUAUGUUUUGUAGUAAGUGUAUAAAAAUAAUACCUUUGACUUUGUAUAAAAAAAAGAAAUCUUUCUUGCUUUAAAAGCCAUGUUGGAUUUGCAUUCUAGACCGUAAUAAAUAUAACUACUUUAACAUAAAAA
rnacentral:lncRNA from 1 species